UAUAUAUAUAUAUAUAUAUUGAGCUAGAAUAUUUUUAGAAGUACCAACCUCGUGGUGCUUCUAAGUUUCUAGCCCUUAGAUCUACACCCCGUGGUGCUUCUAAGUUUCUAGCCCUUAAAUCUACUCCUUCAUUACUAAUAACCUUUGGAUCAAACACUAUUCCACCUACCACUAUCAUCCCAACCUUACAUUUCUCCAUCCAAGGAUUAAAAACUCAAAAGUACCAACCUCUUGGUGCUUUUGAGAGUAUUCUAACUCAAUAUAUAUAUAUAUAUAUAUAGAGAGAGAGAGAGAGAGAGUUGAACUAGAAUACUAUCAGUAGUAAACGAGUCGUUUUACUACCAAUUUGUUUUCGAUGAUAGAACUUCCAAAUUUACGAUCGGCUUCGUUGAACAUGAUCUAUACCACUUAAAGUGUUUAGAAAUCAAAUUUUAAAUCUUUUAGACAUCAUUUGCCUAAUGAUCAAAGAGUUUCAAAAUUUGUAAUUUUAAUGGUCGAUAAGAGGCGUUUUCUCGUUUAACAGCGUAAAGAUAUCCAAAUCAAUUGAAUUUUUGUUAGAAAAUUCUUUAAACUAUUUAAAACAAGAUCUAUACUCUUGAUCUUGAUUAUAAGACUCCUAUCAUCAUUUUUUAAAGAGUAUUCAUUUUCAGUUAUUCAUUUUUCUGUUCACUUGAUGGAUAAAAGAACAAAAUCGAAAGUGCAUGAAAUUUGAUUUCUAGGUAGUUUAAAUGGUUUAGAUCAUAUUUAACGAAGCCGAUCGUCAAUUUGGAAGCUCUAUCAUUGAAAACAAAUCGGUAGUAAAACGGUUCGUUUACUACCGAUAGUAUUCUAGCUCAACUCUAUAUAUAUAUAUAUAUAUAUAUAUAUAUAUAUAUAUAGCAGGGCAGCUGUGCUCUCAGGAGCACGGAGGCCUCCGUGCUCCUGAGCCGUUUUCGAUGAUGGAGUUUUCAAAUCGACGAUCGGCUCCGUUAAACUUGAUCUAGCGUAUUUAAAUUCUAAAAAAUAAUUUUUGCGAUUUUUCGAUAUCAUUUACCUAGUAAUCGAAAGGAUUCAAAAUCAAUAAUUUUUAACGGCUAAAAAUAAAAAUCCUAUAAAAAGUAGUGAUAUAGCACUAAAAUUUUCGAUCAGAAAUAUAGAUCUUGUUGUAGAUAGUAUAAAGAAUUUUCUAUCAAAAUUUUAUCUGAUUUGAAUACUUCUAUACCGUUAAACUUGAAAACGGCAGAUAUCAACCAUUAAAAAUUAUGGAUUUUGAAUCCUUUCGAUCACUAGGUAAAUGAUAUCAAAAAAUCGCAAAAAUUAUUUUCUAGAAACUUCAAAUGCGCUAGAUCAAGUCUAACGGAGCCGAUCGUCGAUUCGAAAAUUCCAUCAUCGAAACCGGCUCAGGAGCACGGAGAGCACAGCAGUCCUGCUCUAUAUAUAUAUAUAUAUAUAUAUAUGAGUUGGACUGGGCUACUAUUAGUAGCAAAAUCCCAUUGUUGCUAACAGUUUUUUAGCCUUUGGAUCAACUCUUUUCAUUAUUUCUAACCAUUGGAUUAAAUACUAUAACCCAGUGGGGACCACUCAACCCUAGGGGGAC
rnacentral:lncRNA from 1 species